rnacentral:ribozyme from 1 species
UGCUAUUUGAGCUAUGCAAUGCGGUAGGACCCGAAACCUCCAGAAGGUCACUCAGGUCCUUCUGCUCAAUUCUUAUUCCGCAACGUUCUCUACAAGCAGAGUGGUAACGUUUAACACCGUAUAUCCAAGCUUGAGAACACGGGCCAUCUCCAAUCUCUUGGGCAAAUGGUGCUGCACAGAACAACAGGAGAGA